rnacentral:rRNA from 1 species
UACGGAGGGUGCAAGCGUUAUCCGGAUUCACUGGGUUUAAAGGGUGCGUAGGUGGGCAGGUAAGUCAGUGGUGAAAUCCCCGGGCUUAACCCGGGAACUGCCGUUGAUACUAUCUGUCUUGAAUGUCGUGGAGGUGAGCGGAAUAUGUCAUGUAGCGGUGAAAUGCUUAGAUAUGACAUAGAACACCAAUUGCGAAGGCAGCUCACUACACGAUGAUUGACACUGAGGCACGAAAGCGUGGGGAGCAAACAGG